AGAACAACAUUUUGGUGCCACUUACCUCAGAGACAGUUCUUUUGGAAAUUAUAAAUAUAUUUCUUUCUGGGAUCAAAAGAAUCCACAUCAAAAUGAAAGAUGAAGUGUUGAAUCUGAAUUCACAGCUGUUUUAUGCAAUCUAGAAAGAGGUCAAGCUGGAGUGCAUGGCACAAUCCUGGCUCACUGCAACCUCUGCCUCCUGGGCUCUGCAUCCUUCCACCUCAGCCUCCCAAGUAAUUGGGACUACAGGAGGGAAAACAAUGCGGUCAUCUAGAAUGACACAUUGUCAUCACUGGGGCACGGGAGAGGGGUUGAGCAAGUCAAUGGAUGUUUUCUAGAGCCUAGAGAAUAUGUGUGAUACUCUGAAGUAUAUUUUUUUCUAAAUCCCAGAUUCCAGCAUUAAGCACUGUGCAGUUUUGAGAGAAGUUAUAGAGCAAAACUGACUUGAGUAACCACCAGCCCAACCUUCGGGACUUUGUGGGGAUUGCUGUGGCUCCCCUGGACUUACAAGCAAUAGUGAUGCAGAACCUGCCAUCAGUAUGUGUAAUGCUUGUCAAAAAAUAAUCACCCAAGUAAUGUUUUAAAUUUUACUGGUCAGUACACUACCAAUACUAGUUUUGGCAUGGCAGAUACUAAAUAACAAAGCUUUGUUUCGAAUAAA